rnacentral:rRNA from 1 species
AUUGAACGCUGGCGGCAUGCCUUACACAUGCAAGUCGAACGGCAGCGGACCUUCGGGUGCCGGCGAGUGGCGAACGGGUGAGUAAUAUAUCGGAACGUACCUUUCAGUGGGGGAUAACGUAGCGAAAGUUACGCUAAUACCGCAUAUUCUGCGAGCAGGAAAGCAGGGGAUCGCAAGACCUUGCGCUGAUUGAGCGGCCGAUAUCAGAUUAGCUAGUUGGUGAGGUAAAGGCUCACCAAGGCGACGAUCUGUAGCGGGUCUGAGAGGAUGAUCCGCCACACUGGAACUGAGACACGGUCCAGACUCCUACGGGAGGCAGCAGUGGGGAAUUUUGGACAAUGGGCGCAAGCCUGAUCCAGCCAUGCCGCGUGAGUGAAGAAGGCCUCGGUUGUAAG